CUCUUGCAGUCUGGAGGCCAGAAGUCUGAACUCGAGGAGCUGGCGGGGCUGCACUACGCCGGGAGGCUCGGGAGAGAAUCCGUUCCUCACCUCUUCCAACUUCUGGUGGCUUCAGACAUUCCUUGGAGAUUUGGGAUGGCAUCUGAGGCCUAUCCAAAUAACCCAAGAUGAUCUCAUCUCAAGUCCGCAGCCCCACCCUAGCCCCAGCCACCAUCGGAAAAGGACCUGACUGCAACAUUUCAGCCCUUCUCGUCAUCCUGCUGAGGCUCCUGAGAUGGGGAAAGAAGAGAGAAGAUAAUAAUUUCAAACACAGAAAUAAUAACAAGAGUGCAACAACUCCAUAAAAGUAAUAGCAUUUCUACAGGGAUUACUAUAUGCCUGGCAAAAAAAAAAAAAAAAGUUCUAGAGCUUUACAUGGAUUCCACACCCACUCAGCUCUCCUUGCUAUUUCUCAAAAACACCAAGUAAACUGGCAAACUCCUACCCCAGGACCUUGGCACUUGCUACUCCCUCUGCUUGUAAUGCUUUCUUCCCCAGAAGCCCAUGAUUCAAUCCCUUACAUCCUUCAAGUGCUCAAAUAUCACCCUCUCAAUGAGGCCUUCCCUGACUACCAAACUGAAAAUUGCCAAAAAAAAAAAACAAAACAAAAAACUCCCCAGCACUCCUCAUUCCCUUCCC